GCCAGCAUGGUGUAGUGGUCUGAGUGUUGGACUGGAAAUCCAGAAGACCAGGGUUCAAAUCCCAUUCAGCCA